AAAAAAGGGUUUUACAGUUUCAGAGUAGACUGCUAUCCCUUUUGUCCAUCCUGGGAUAGCCACUUGAACUACUCAAGGGAGACUUCAGCUGUCCAUCUAGUGGUUCUAAUUGAGAAAUGAGAUAUGUAAGCAUUUCUUCCAGAAAUGACUCAUGUGUUGCCAUAAUUUGAAAAGCAAAAAUAUAAUAACAGGCUUACAUCUGCAAUCUGCAGUACAUACAACUUAUCAAUGAACCCAGAAUAAAGGUAUUUAGGGAAAAAGUUUUCCCAGCUUUUGAUUUUUCUUGGCUGCCUGUUCGAAGUCCCAAAGGAGUAAGGUAGACAGUACUUUGGGGAAUGAAAAAGCCAUUUGCUUCCCUCCUAUGACAGCUGGGAAUCUAAUUUCCCAAUUUUUUAGUAAAACUCCUUCUCUGGGUACAAAGAAUUUAACAAGAAACAACAUCUCUUCGCAAUCUCUGCAUCAAAGCAUGAACUAGAUGACUGCUACUGAACCAACAGCCCUACUAUUCUGUAAUAGAAAUAUUCACCUUUGUAAGAUUAAAAAGGAAUAAUUUCAGAGCAAAAAGCAAGUACUAUUAAUGCCUGUCCUGAUUAUAUGCAGUAGCAAAGCAAAGGUAUUUUGACAAUUAGAAAGUGUUUGGAAAAUAUAGAUACAGGCACAAGAAUGGAAAAAAUGACUUUCAAAAAAAUGCACAUACUGAAUCCUUCUAUGCCUAGCAUAUCAGUAUGGAAGAAAACUACAAGAAUUAUAUUAAAAACACUCUUGACCACAUUGAAAUACUUGAUAAUAUAUUGAGACCCAUAUAGCUUUCACCAAAUUAUACAAUAUUCCUCACCUCCUUGCUGUAUCUGCUGUUGUUGACAAAUCUGCCUCCUUGAGUUUCUCCCUAUAUGCCUUAAAUGACAAUCCAGCAUUUUUUUUUUCUUUUUUCCUAUAACUCUGUUCCUUUUCUCACGUUCAUAAUUCCCUUUUUCCCAAAUAGAGGGGUUGUGCCUUCAGGGUAUCCUCCCUCCCUCCCUUGGUGACUCAUCUAAUCUCAUAUUGAUAUUUUUUCAACUGAAUGCUCACAAAAAUUUAUACUUUUUAGACUUCUCUUCUUUCCUGAUGAGUAAUUUCACACUCUUACAGAAGUUAAGGAGAGGUAAAAUGACUCACAGAUUCCUAUACUACUUGCUCUUUUAAAAAAGAUAAUUCUUGCUGGGCGCGGUGGCUCACGCCUGUAAUCCCAGCACUUUGGGAGGCCGAGGCGGGAGGAUCACGAGGUCAGGAGAUUGAGACCACCCUGGCUAACACGGUGAGACCCCGUCUCUACUAAAAAUACAAAAAAUUAGCUGGGCGUGGUGGCGGGUGCCUGUAGUCCCAGUUACUCGGGAGGCUGAGGCAGGAGAAUGGCGUGAACCCGGGAGGCGGAGCUUGCAGUGAGCAGAGAUGGAGCCACUGCAUUCUAGCCUGGGCGACAGAGUGAGACUCCGUCUCGGGGGAAAAAAAAAAAAAAAGAAGAUUUUAAAAAAUAAAUAAGCUGACAAUUAAUGACUUAAGUACUCAUCUCAAAAAACUUUUAAAAGUACAGAAAAUUAUCAUUUUUUUAAAUAGAAGAAAUAAAGGUAAAGGCAGAAAUCAGUAAAAAGUUAAAAACAACAUUUAUCUGAAAAUGGACUCUGAAAAGACUGCGUACAAAGAGACCCAAAUUACAAUAAGCAGAUUUUGAAAAGGAGAGAUCAUAGAUACUACAAAUACCAAAACAAUUAUAAAAGGAUACACACACACACACAAAAACCUUAAGCUGAACUGGAAAAUUCAGACAAAAUGGACAAAUCUCUUGAAAAGCAAAACUUGUCAAAAUUGACAAAGAAAUAGAAAAUAUGAAUAGCUUUUUAUGUACUGACGAAAUACAAUCAAUAAUCUUCACAAGAAAACUCCAGAGGGCUUCACCAGUGAAUUCUUUCAAACAUUUGUGGAUGGAAUAAAAUCAAUCUUCACAAAUUCUUCCAGAGUAUUAAAAAGCAUUUCCCAACUCAUCUUAUGAGGUCAGCAUAACCUUGAUACCUAAAUCUGUCAAAUACUUUACAAGAAAUUAAAAUUGCUAGCCAAUUGUUUUCAUGAACAAAAAAAAACUCAAUGAAGUAUUAUCUAGCAUAUACCAUUUGAGUAAUGUAAAAUUAAAAGCUAGGUUUAUCCAGAAAUUCAAGGAUGUUUUAAAAUUAGGAAAUAUAUAUCCUUCUCUUUCCCACCCAUCCCAAAAUUAACACAUAUUUUUUGACAGAGCAACUACAUUACUAAGAGUUUUGUCCUAAGGGAAUAAUCAGACAAGGCACAGAGAUAUGUUUAAGAAUAUCCAUUAUGUCAUUGUUUGUAAUAGCUUCUAAAUGCUCAUGAAUAUGGAAUUCGCUAAAUAAUUUAUAUACAUCUAUCAUAAUCGGUUCAAAAUUAUAAUACGGUUCUAUACUUAUUUGCAUAGAUAGAUGUUCAUAAUAUAGGCUGAGCUUUAAAUAUGUAAGGAGGCAGCUUUAGGCUAAACUUGAUUUAACAUGACAAUGAGAAUAGCAGGAUACAAAAGCAAGACUAUUUCUAAGGCAAAGAAAAACACUAAUUUUAUAUGAAAGUAAAGAAAAACAUAUAUCAUAAGAACAUUUUGUCUAGACACAAUAAAUUGCCAUCUUAAGUACAUAAACAAAAAUGUUAAUGUCAAACUUCAACAAUUUUCUUCAGCAGAAAGAACAUUUUCUUCUCAAAAUCUAGUCAGAAAAUUACCCAAAUAUAUAUUUACUUAAGACCAAAAAUGCUACUAGAUUUGACCAACCAAUAGAGAAUCUCUCUCUCUCUCUCUCUCUCUCUACAUAUAUAUAUGCAGUUAAAAGUAUGGAGACAAAAACAAAAUGCCCCGAAAUCACUAAAUCCUUUACAAGUCAAUCUAUUUGUUACAUAUAUAUAUAAAGCAUUCAAAGUAGUACUUUUUAAGAAAAAUCCACUGUGUAACAAAUAUAUACAUAAGAAGACUCAAAGUUCCAACAAGUUUAAAGGAAACUCCCUUUAAUUUUACCAAUUAGUAAGACAACCAACCUUAAUUAAAAUCAUUCCAAUCCAGAUGUUACAUAGUUUAUUACAAAGAUAUAUGAAGUAGGUUUCAUUUCUACCAUGCUAGCUCAGACCAAUCAGUAGGGACUCCCUGGAGCAAGGUAUUGGGAAGGAAUCUAAGGCAUUCUUAGGAUAAUGUGCCUGAGGGAUUCAGUAAUGUUUGCUCAGUUACCGUUGUGGGGAGGGGUGUAGAUGUUUAUCACUAUUGCCACCAGACCCAAACUCCUAUUCUAGCUCAACUUCUUCCUCGCUAUGUGAUCUCAAACAAGUUCCUUACCCUCUCUGAACCUAGGCUGUGAGAAAGUAAAAAUGAGCUCGGUUGAUAAUCAGACUGUGAUAUCUGAAAGAUAGAAGACCAACAGGUAAAAAGUUUUUCCUAUGGCCACACUGCAGCUCCAAAAUGACCAACAAUCUCCCAUUCUGUAAGUGAUUAUGUUUUCUCACCAAUGACUUUCCAAAUCCCCUUCAUUUAUCCUGUCUCCUAAACAAAGACUGCUGAAAGACCCAAUUACUAACCCACCUCCAGUUGAUGUACGAUAGCAUUCAGUCCAGGAGUCCCUGCUUCCAGCACAGCCCAAACCCUACUGAAAACUCCUCCCAUUCUCUUUCUUUUUUUUUUUUUUUUUUUUUUUUAGAGACAGAGUCUUACUCUGUCGCCCAGGCUGGAGUGCAGUGGCGCAAUCUCAGCUCACUGCAACCUCUGCUCACUGCAACCUCCACCUCCUGGGUUCAAGUGAUUCUCCUGCCUCAGCCUCCGGAGUAGCUGCGAUUACAGACGCCUGCCACAAUGCCCAGCUAAUUUUUGUAUUUUUAGUAGAGAUGGGGGUUUCACCAUGUUGGUCAGGGUGGUCUCGAACUCCUGACCUCAAGUGAUCCACCCACCUCGGCCUCCCAAAAUGUUGGGAUUACAGGUGUGAGCCACCGUGCCCAGCCCUCCCAUUCUCUUUUACUGACACUUGGCAGGAUCUGGCAUACGCUCUUCCUAGCUGCAAAACAGUCAACCUAACUUGUUUCACCACAGAUGCAUUCCUGGUGGUCUUCACCUGGUGGGUAUUAAGAGUUUCUUUAUCUAUAUACCAACCAUAUUUAUCCAGGGUGACUGUAAGGAUUAAAUUAAAUGCUAUAAUGUAAAAUGCCAAGCAUCUGCCUGGUACUAGAAAGUACACAACAAAUAUUAGUUCUCUCUCCUCUACGAGCUCAAAGUAAAGUUAUGUGUAAUUUUUUUAUCACCUAAGCAGUUCUUCACUAUCAAGAAACUGCAUCUCUGCAAAACAUAACUAACAGCCAGAAAAUUAGCCCUCCUAAAAAGAGAAUUCUAAGCAACCAAAACAGAUAUGAUCAAGUCCAUGAAACAAAAGAUACUCACUUUACUGUGAGGUAACUCCUAAAAUCCUACUCAGACACCAUUUGCUCAUUUUAAACACAUAUUAUUUUUAAUAAACUUUGGAAAUAUGGUUUCCACACCCAUAGCAAAUUAAAACCAGCAACUGUAAAUGGUUAGGAAUAAGUAGGCACACUGAUCACAGGAAAAAACAGCUGCUCAACAAGGCAGGAGACAGAAAACUUCUAACUAUCAAACACAAGAAGUUAAAAUGCUCAGAAAUCUUUAGUCAUCUAGUGCAGUGGCUCCUACAUUUUUUUGACUGAAGAUCCCAAAUAUAAAAUACUUGAGGCACAUACCUAUAGUAUAUGUGUUUUCAUUUAUAAACAUACACAUAGUAUAAAACAUAUACUAAAAACAGAAAUUAAAAGAUUAAAAUUUUGUUUUUACUUUACUAUUUUAACUAUCAACUAUUUUAAAUAUUAACUUGUUUUAAUCUUUCAAUCACUAAAAAUGCUAUUACUAUUAACAUAUUAGGUGAGCAUUAUUAUUAAAUAUAUCUCCAUUUUUUUAAAUCUUAGUUUCUUCUUUUGUGAAGUUCAAUGUAUUUUGCACUUGGUUUUAAGAGCUGUCAUAAGUCAUACCUGAAAAACUUAUCUUACAAAGAUGAGAUCUAUAUAGAAGAACAUGUCACUUACUAACUUACUAAAUCAUAUUACUUUUUCAUUCUAUCACCAAAUACGCAAACAUUUUUAUUCAAAGUCAGCUACCUGAUGUCAAUGUUAUUAAAAUUUUCUUUUUCCUGACUGCAAUAAGAAUGUUUACAAAUUAAAAUGUUUGGCUUUCCAAUAAAUGGUCCAAAGUCAAUUAAAAUUCAUUGUAAGGAAGAUUUUCAACAGACUGUAAAUACUUCAACAUGCUUUCAAAAUGUUCUCCAUAACAUGUUUCUUUUGAAAAGCAGGUACUUUCUCACUUACUGUUUAAAAUGUCGAUUUUGCCUUGAAGUGACAACUUGGGGAUUUUUUCCCAAACACAUCCGCUAGAUUUUUAUUUUUGGUAGCCUCUUGUCAUCACGGAUAAGAACAGCAUAUAGAAUACUCAUCUUUUGUAAUAAAAAUGUGUGAUUAAUCUUUGAGUUCUACAACUCUUAAAUGCUUUGACAGCAAACCUCUGUUCCCCAUCUCAAUAAGAAGUAUCAUAGAUUCUUCUUUUAAAAAGUAUUUUUAAAGGGACUAUAUAACAGAAAAACUGGAAAAACUCUGAGAAACUCAUGGUGCUGUUGCUGGCAUCUACAUUCUAGAAUUCACACAUCUUCCCUCAGCAAACCACACUCUCAGUGACCACCUGAAUGCAGGUGGACCUAGGAGAACCUCACAGCCAAUUCACAUAGUAUGAAUAGAAAAGCUCAAUUCUUUUCCCUUUUGGGGGACAAAAUAAACAAACAGAAGUUCUCAUAUUUACUUCUCAAAAUUGACUUGCUUCACCUCAUUUUGUAAAUUACUGAUCUAGUGAAGGGGCAUAAAGCUUCACAAUCUAUAUUAGGUGCCGAGGGUAUUAUAGUUGUAGCUUAUGCCUGUUAAUACUACUACCAUAUUACACAGACAGGUACCCAAUAAACACUGAUUGAAUGCAAGCAAUAUUAUUCAAAUCAUAGCUCUAAGUCAUCAAAAAUAAGUUAAAUUAUGCAUAGUAUAUUUCAUUUAAGCAAAUGCAAUGGUAAUCCAACAUUGUUAGAUUGGGCUAUCUUAACACUCAACCUCCAAGUAUUCAGAAAAUUUACUGGUUCGGAAUGACUUAUUACCCAAGGUUUCCAGGUUACCAUGAAUUCUACAGUCACUCUUCAUUUUUCCCUCCCAGAAUAAGAUGACUUAGAAAAUCAAAGAGCACAUUUACUAAGUAUAUGCUUCAGUCUCCUAAAACAUAUUUAAUGUUCUAUAUUGUGAAAACUAUUAGCACCAUCAGUAUUUUAUCCACUAAUUUAAAAUAACUUCAAGUUUUAAUACUAUAAAUAUAUAUUUUUCAUAUUCCAAGUGAUAACAGAAGCAGACAUUAUAGACUUCAUAUUUAACACCACUAUUACUACGGAACAAUAUUUAUUUUUUUCUGUAAGUAACGAAGACAGUAAUAGUUUGUGAGUCAAGAAAGUCACUCAACAAUUUCUGAAUGUCUAAAAAAUAUCAGAGGUGAAAUAAAAGUGAUACUAUAUCCAUAGAAAUUUGAUACCUGUGUAAGAGGAAUGUCAAAAGCACUAAAGAAAAAUGGUUUACAAGAAGGAAAGAUCACUGUGGCCUAAAAUGAACUAAAGACCAUUUUAGACACAAGCUGGGGUAGGAUUCAGAGCUAGAAAGAAGGAAUUCAAAGCUGUGGGAAACAAUGUCAUCUGUUUUCUUAAUAAAAAUGUCUAAUUCAAAAUACCAAAUAGGAGACAUUCAAGUAAAAAUUCAGAGAAACAUUCAAUUCUUAAUAUAUUAUUUAUUAAGCUAUUCAAGUCACACAUAUAUGUAAACAGUACUUAUCUACCUUUUGGCUUUAUAAAACCCUCCAACUUAAACCUGAAAUAAGAAUCAUCAGGAAUAGAAAGAAAAAUAAAAAGGAGCUGUAACUAAAGAGGAAAAAGUCCCUGGGCAUUAAAUCUCAGUAUACUUUUCUAUUUUCUGGACCUUUUCCUUUCAUGGCAUUUUCUCCUGGUAUAUUCAACAUAUGUCAUUUUACUUUAACUUGGAAAAGUGAUAAAAGUUCACUUUGAAAGGAAAUGUAUUUUAGUAAUUUCCUGUCCACAAGAGGGCUCCAAUAAUUCUUACAUGAAUGGAAGUGAUAUAACAAAAGUUACAAUAAAAAUAUUCAUUAAGCACAUAAAAUAUACUGGAAAAAACUUGAAUUGUCAUUAUCUGAUUCAACUCCUAUUACAAAUUGAUCUGCUACAAUUUUUACAUUACAGUUGUUAAAGAUACGGGGCUUUUCUUUGACCGUUUUAUCAACUAAAAUGUUUUGAAUCACAAAAUUGCUUUGCCAUUAUUCUCACACUGUCAAUUUCUCUCUUAAAGUUUUCAAUGUAAUAGAUAAAGUAUAAUUUUAGUCCAAAGCUCUAAAUAGUAGCCUAAAUGUUGUAUACAAUACUCUUAUAAAAACAAGAAUGUAUUUCUUGAUAACUUUACCAAUCCAGAAAACAAAAUUACCAUUGCUUGCCCAGUCUUAGGCCUUAUUACUAACACAGGCAGUAAAUAUUUUCUUGCAAAAAACCUACAGUGGUUAACAUAAGUCACACUGCAACUAUAAACAAUGAAUAUAGCCGCAUCAUGAACUAUGAUCUUGGCUGCAACAUAAAUAAAUAAAUACAUCAUUUAAAUACAAUAUAUUAUAAUGAUAUUCUGUUGAGAUAUUUUCAGAUUUUUUCACAAAUAAGUUACUACACUAAGAUGUUAUUAAAUCUAGUUCAAACUCAAUCACUCUUAGCAAAGAAAAACCAACAUUUCAAGUAAAUACACUUGUAAUAUUUAUAGGACAUAUAUAUUGCAGAAUGUAGUAAAAGUACCAACUACAAAUUAUGUUUUAAAGGGUACAGCAAAUCCAUUCACUACGGGUGCCACUCCCUCAUCCAAAAAAUUGACAUUUGGAUCAUUAAAAAUGAGACUCCUUAUGCUAAACACAAAAAUUUACUGGAUGUUCAAAAAUAAAUUUUAAAUGGGAGUUCUACCUACAAAACAAAAACCAAAGCUAAAAAAUCUAUUUUAAAGUGAGUCAUAAUCACGGCCAUAAAAAGACUUUACCAAAAACAUCAAUUGAUUUAGCAAUUAUUGUAGCUCGAGAAUAAAUUAUCUCUAUUGGAAACAUGAUAGGGGUUAACUUCACCACUCCAUCCCAUCUCCCCAACAGGAUUUUCCUAUACAACUGACAAGCACCAUUAACAUAUAAAAGAUUGACUUCAAUAGAAAUGACACCACCACCAAAAAGUAAAAAAGUGUAACAUUUGUUUCAGCACAGUUGACAGCACAUACUGUCAACUAGGAGAAAGCUUAACAUUUUACUGCAUCUAGCAAAAAUGUAUUUAACAGUACAUAUCCUGAUCAAUUUAGAGUUAUGCUGCAAGGGAUAUAUGUCAUUAGCUUUGCUGUGGGAGUGGUGAGAGGAGCUCUUCAAGGUUUGGAGCGGUAAAUUGUUGUCAUGAAUGUAAACUAAAAUCAAUUGUCAAUUCAUGGUAUUAAGAGUUUAAUAAUCAUGAAGCAUUUAAUCGACAACUUCUAACCAGUAUUUGUCAUGUUAUAUUUCAAAAAGUUGAGAAUUCUAGGCACAUAGCAAAUGAUAGACUUCUUAAGCAAAAAUGCAAAGUUAAGUAAUAAACGAACGUUUAAAAGACUUUCACAAAGAGAAAAUCUUAACCUCUAACCAGUUGAACAGUAGAAAACAAGACAUAAAAAAAUACUCAGAACAAUCAAACCUGUGCUGUACGUUAGUACCCACUCUGAAAUAGCAUCAUCAGGGCAUUAUAUAUUUAUUACAUAAUAUUGCUUUGCCCUUGCAUAUCACCUUUAAUCAAAGGAUCUCAAAGCACCACAGAAUCAAGGCCUUAACAUCCAGUCUCAAACAGAUAAACUGUUAUAUUUUAUAAUUGCAGAUAUUAAUAAAACCCUGCUCCUACUUCCCAGUCCUCUGAUCCUAACAUCAGCCUCCAAACCCUCUCUCUGACUUGGAAACAGUAUUUCCCAAAUCAUCUCAAUCUGUGACUGAUGCCACGCACAUUCCAGCUUUUCUUCACUGGACCUAAAGGAAGUAGCGGCACUGUUUUAAUAACACAUCUAUUUCAUUCCAACGUCUGUGAGAGAAUAGACGGUACUUAAGGUUAACCUAUUUUGCACUGUGCUUGAUGAUAUAAAAUGGAGGCUUUCGAGAGAGCAAAUCUUUGCUCGAGGCGAUGAACCCACAGAUCACUCAUCAAACAAGGGAAAUAGCAUUUCCCAGCUCUGUCUAGAGACCGCUCCCGGCAACUUCAAGAGCAGUAUGGAGGAAAGCUUGUCCAGCCGUACUUAACCAGGCAGGAGGCUAUUUCAUGUGUGCACACCAGAAGAGAAGCGAAAACUAAAAGGACAACGCACGAGUUUUAGGACUCAGGAAGGAGACUGUAAAGCUGUUAUGUGGCCACCCCCAGAGACAGAACACUGUGUUUCCUUUGCAUUCAAUGGGAAAUUAAACAAGAGCAAAAUUCCUUUAAACCAAGGUCAAAAUAAGCCAUUUAGAAUCAUUUAAUUUUUGUUAUAAAAUCUGUAUAUGAGGUUUGCUCCUCUAGAAACAUCUGGCGUUUUAAAAUUUAAUCAUCAGCAGGCUGGGCGCAGUGGCUCACGCCUGUAAUCCCAGCACUUUGGGAGGCCAAGAUGGGUGGAUCAUCUGAGGUCAGGAGUUUGAGACCAGCCUGGCCAACAUGGUGAAACCCUGUCUCCACAAAAAAAAAAAAAAAAAAAAAAAAAAAUUAGCCAGGUGUGGUGGUGGGCACCUGUAAUCCCAGUUACUUGGGAGGCUGAGGCAGGAGAAUCGCUUGAACCCAGGAGGCAGAGGUUGCAGUGAGCCGAGAUCGCGCCAUUGCACUCCAGCCUGGGCAACAAGAGCAAAACUCCGUCUCAAAAAAUAAAAAUUAAAUUAAAAUUAAAUUAAAAUUAAAAAAUAAAAUAAAAUUUAAUCAUCAGCAAAGUUCAAUUUGUUUCCACUGAAUACACAAACACUCAAAUGUUAACAUAUGUGAGCACAACUACGUUAACUUCAAUUCUUUCAUAAACAGGAUUAUUCCUCUUCCUGGUAAUUAAAUGCAUUAUGUUUGUCCUUAGGACUGCAAAAUGUAACUUCACACUCACACAAGCCCAGCCCCAGCACUGUAAGGUUACACGGUUACUGUUAGUCAACCGACUCACAACCUUACCCUUUAUAAACAAAACAAAGAAAGGCGUCAAUAAACA
rnacentral:lncRNA from 1 species